rnacentral:lncRNA from 1 species
GUUUUUCUCCCGGACACGCAGCGUAAAUUACCAACAAUUUGGCGUUUAUAUUUAUAGUUAUUACAACCUCCACCUCAAGAAAAACGUCUGCUGAACUGAUAGAAAACAUCGAUCGUGGUUGCAGAAGGAAUCUUACUAAACAUGCAGGAUAUUCGAAAAUAUCUUAAAAGGCCUUUACCAAAUACCUCUGGAACCUUGGCUGAUGAGCCUGCUUCGAAAAGGAAACCAAGUUUGGAAGUUAAAAAUCCGAAUGCUGCUAAAUCAAAAAA